UGUGAAGGUAAAGUCGUUGCGGUUUUGUUUGAACUAUAGGUCUUGGGUGUUUGUUGAUCUUCCUUUGCAUCCAGUGUUUUGCUUAUAAAGCAAUAGGUUGUUAUGUUAUGCGAUCUGGUGUUGAGUCAAAUGCCAUAUUUCAGGCGAUCUGGUGGUCGUGACCAUAUUUUUGUGUUUCGGAGGUUGCCUUGAGGCUCUGCUUUCAACAUAUGAGCUAUGAGUUUAGAGCUCCAUAGUACUUGCCUCUCUAAACUCUCAGUCUCGGAUUCGGAGAAACUGGGGCCUUGUGUGCAAUGAAGGAAGUUGAUCUCAUUCCUCAUGAUCCUAAAUCUGCAGAAAGUAUAAAGCAAUCGGAAAAUGCUUCAGUUACAUGGUGUUUCUUCAAUGUUGCUGGUUGCCUC